rnacentral:rRNA from 1 species
GAUGAACGCUGGCGGCGUGCCUAACACAUGCAAGUCGAGCGAUCUCUUCGGAGAGAGCGGCGGACGGGUGAGUAACGCGUGGGUAACCUGCCCUGUACACACGGAUAACAUACCGAAAGGUAUACUAAUACGGGAUAACAUAUGAAAGUCGCAUGGCUUUUAUAUCAAAGCUCCGGCGGUACAGGAUGGACCCGCGCCUGAUUAAAUAGUUGGUAAGGUAAUGGCUUACCAAGGCAACUAUCAGUAGCCGACCUGAGAGGGUGAUCGGCCACACUGGAACUGAGACACGUGCCAGACGCCUAAAGGAGUCAGGAGUGGGGGAUAGUGCACAAUGGGCGAAAGCUUUCUGCAGCGCCGACGCGUGAGUUAUGAAUGCCUUCGAGGCGUAAAGAUCUGUCCUCAAGGAAGAUGCAGACGGUACUUGAGGAGGAAGCCCCGGCUAACUACGUGCCAGAUGCCGUGGUAA